rnacentral:rRNA from 1 species
CAAGUCCGUAGACGAGAGUGAAUGCGUAGCUUGCUCCCUGAUGUCAGCGGCGGACGGGUGAGUAACACGUGGGUAACCUGCCUGUAAGACUGGGAUAACUCCGGGAAACCGGGGCUAAUACCGGAUGCUUGAUUGAACCGCAUGGUUCAAUUAUAAAAGGUGGCUUUUAGCUACCACUUACAGAUGGACCCGCGGCGCAUUAGCUAGUUGGUGAGGUAACGGCUCACCAAGGCAACGAUGCGUAGCCGACCUGAGAGGGUGAUCGGCCACACUGGGACUGAGACACGGCCCAGACUCCUACGGGAGGCAGCAGUAGGGAAUCUUCCGCAAUGGACGAAAGUCUGACGGAGCAACGCCGCGUGAGUGAUGAAGGUUUUCGGAUCGUAAAACUCUGUUGUUAGGGAAGAACAAGUACCGUUCGAAUAGGGCGGUACCUUGACGGUACCUAACCAGAAAGCCACGGCUAACUACGUGCCAGCAGCCGCGGUAAUACGUAGGUGGCAAGCGUUGUCCGGAAUUAUUGGGCGUAAAGCGCGCGCAGGCGGUUUCUUAAUUCUGAUGUGAAAGCCCCCGGCUCAACCGGGGAGGGUCAUUGGAAACUGGGGAACUUGAGUGCAAAAGAGGAGAGUGGAAUUCCACGUGUAGCGGUGAAAUGCGUAGAGAUGUGGAGGAACGCCAUUGGCGAAGGCGACUCUCUGGGCUGUAACUGACCCUGAGGCGCGAAA